UACGUAGGGUGCAAGCGUUGUCCGGAAUUAUUGGGCGUAAAGAGCUCGUAGGCGGUCUGUCGCGUCGAAUGUGAAAACCCGGGGCUCAACCCCGGGCCUGCAUUCGAUACGGGCAGACUAGAGUUCGGUAGGGGAGUCUGGAAUUCCUGGUGUAGCGGUGAAAUGCGCGGAUAUCAGGAGGAACACCGGUGGCGAAGGCGGGACUCUGGGCCGAUACUGACGCUGAGGAGCGAAAGCGUGGGGAGCGAACAGG
rnacentral:rRNA from 1 species